rnacentral:rRNA from 1 species
GCCGGUGGAUGCCAUGGGCGCAGCCUGAUGCAGCCAUGCCGCGUGUGUGAAGAAGGCCUUCGGGUUGUAAAGCACUUUCAGUCGUGAGGAAGGUAGUGUGUUUAAUAGAUGCAUUAUUUGACGUUAGCGACAGAAGAAGCACCGGCUAACUCCGUGCCAGCAGCCGCGGUAAUACGGAGGGUGCGAGCGUUAAUCGGAAUUACUGGGCGUAAAGCGCAUGCAGGUGGUGUGUUAAGUCAGAUGUGAAAGCCCGGGGCUCAACCUCGGAAUUGCAUUUGAAACUGGCAGACUAGAGUACUGUAGAGGGGGGUAGAAUUUCAGGUGUAGCGGUGAAAUGCGUAGAGAUCUGAAGGAAUACCGGUGGCGAAGGCGGCCCCCUGGACAGAUACUGACACUCAGAUGCGAAAGCGUGGGGAGCAAACAGGAUUAGAUACCCUGGUAGUCCACGCCGUAAACGAUGUCUACUUGGAGGUUGUUCCCUUGAGGAGUGGCUUUCGGAGCUAACGCGUUAAGUAGACCGCCUGGGGAGUACGGUCGCAAGAUUAAAACUCAAAUGAAUUGACGGGGGCCCGCACAAGCGGUGGAGCAUGUGGUUUAAUUCGAUGCAACGCGAAGAACCUUACCUACUCUUGACAUCCAGAGAACUUUCCAGAGAUGGAUUGGUGCCUUCGGGAACUCUGAGACAGGUGCUGCAUGGCUGUCGUCAGCUCGUGUUGUGAAAUGUUGGGUUAAGUCCCGCAACGAGCGCAACCCUUAUCCUUGUUUGCCAGCGAGUCAUGUCGGGAACUCCAGGGAGACUGCCGGUGAUAAACCGGAGGAAGGUGGGGACGACGUCAAGUCAUCAUGGGCCCUUACGAGUAGGGCUACACACGUGCUACAAUGGCGCAUACAGAGGGCGGGCCAACUUGCGAAAGUGAGCGAUCCCAAAAAGUGCGUCGUAGUCCGGAUUGGAGUCUGCAACUCGACUCCAUGAAGUCGGAAUC